rnacentral:tRNA from 1 species
GGAGGGAUGACUGAGCGGUCGAAAGUGACGGUCUUGAAAACCGUUGAACCGGUUUCCCGGUUCCGUGGGUUCAAAUCCCACUCCCUCCGCCA